GUGCUCCUAAUAGCAGCACAUAUACUAAAAUUAGAAGGAUACUGAGAUCAGCGCAGUCCCUGCUCAAGGGAGACACAUUCGUGAAGUGUCCCAUAUCUAA
rnacentral:snRNA from 1 species